UCUUUUCUAAUGAGAGACAAAAAGGGAGUGGAUCCAGAUGGAAGAGGAGGUGGGGAGGAACUGGGAGGAGUAGAGGGAGGGGAAACUGUAAUCAGGAUAUGUUAUGUGAGAAAAUAACAUAUUUUCAAUAAAAGGCAAGGGGGAGAUGGAACGAAACAAAGCAUUCGGUUCGGUCAACUCUGUUCCACCAGGAGCUGGACUCCAGGCUUAGUAAAGCCAUGUUGACAGGUGCAAGAGCUGCCCUUUCCGCUGUGCAGUGGUCAGUCCGGAGGAGUCACCUGACCCCUCCCUGUGGCCUGUGGUGAGACCUGAGGCAGUGGCAGAGACAGAAGAUGCCUUCAGAGCAUUUGAAAGCGAAAUGGACAGACAUGGGCUUUCAGAUCUCAGCCUGAGCUGUCUGCUUCAGACACCUCCUGGUGACCAGUGAGAAGAGCAAGGUUGGACAGGUGCCAAUCAGUUCUUCCAGGCAGAAGGCAGGAUCCGAUGCACAUUGGGGCAGGGGGAAAAAACUGUUAGAAGCACUCAUACUGCUCUCGGCCGUGGCGCCAUCUUCCUUGGAACUCCUGCGCCAGGAGAGCGACAGGGAGGAAGAAGCGAAUGCAAUGCGCAGGCUGAAGCCAAGAGGGGAAAGCUGAGGCAGAGGUCUAAGUAAACUAGGCUUGUGCACCCGUGAGGCUGAAGGCGCCGAAGCAAGGGAUGCUGAAGGCUGGGACUUUGGUGCACGUCGCUGGACUGUGUGCUACUAACGCUGGAAGUCUUGAUGGACCUGAACAGCACCAUCGGCUCGCAGAGACCACCUGAGAGACUUUGCGUUCAUGACAACCAAAACAGUCCCGCUGGCCCUCUGCCCUGGACCUAUGGCAUUCCAGACUAGUUCUGUUCUCACUUGUGGCCAAGUGUAACUCGUGUACAAUAAACCAUCUUUUCUCGCUGUCUCAGCUGAAGAAUCCAAAAAAAAUAAAAAUAAAAAAAAGAAGCACUCAUAUUCUUUUUAAUCAUAUUCUCUACCUCUAGUCUCCAGAUUUAACUCUCAUUUACAGAUUUCCGGGGUUUUCAUUUCUAAAGCACAACAUUGGAUACUUCUUCUGUCCUGUGAGUGGAACGUUCUGGAUUCAGCUGUUUUAGCACAUAGAUUUAAUGGCCAACCAGCUCUGUACAAAUAAGAGUAGAGAAAGAGAUCCAAGAAGAUACUUUCUCUGCUAAGCUAGUGUAAUGUUAAAAUUAAUUGGCUAAAAUUAGAAUAUAUGACCUACUAAAAAUUGUUUAAAGUUAACAACAAGGUUUUCAUUUGGAUAGCCAACCUAAAAAAAACUUUCAAAAAACAAGAACUGGCUACAGUGAGCAUGUGGUAUUCAUAAUUCAUUCAGAUAAGUCAUUUUAAUUCCUUUGAAAACAGAGCAGAUUCACUGAGCAACCACACAGCCCAACCAAAUCGUCUGAGAACUGAGGAAGGGAAGAAAGUAAGAUUUCAUGAUGUCCAAAGGAUGUCAAGCUCAAGAGCCUUUCAAGAUAGCCAUAAAUAGAGAGUCCCUUAUCAAACCACACAGACCUCCUCUCAGUUCAAAAGUGAUGGCUUUGCACCACCCCCGCACCGCGUAGCCACGGAGGGCUGUGCUCAACAGGCCUCCCACGUGGCAGAGAUGACUCUGGGCGCACAGAGAUACAGACAUGGCUGCUUUGAGCUCCCAGAUGACUGACAAAGUUUAAGAUGUGAGCUCUCAGCUCAUUGCUCCAGCUAACAUGCCUGCCUGCUGCCACACUUCCCUGCCAUGAUGGUGAUGGAUUCUCAUCCUCUGGAACCCUAAGCACAA